UUGAACGAAUGAAAAAGAGAAAGAGAGAGAAUAAAAUGAAAAAAGAGUUUCUAAAAAAAAAAAUAAAAAUGGGUGAAAGUAAGGAAUAUUGUCGACGAACUGAAUUGUGGACACACCAUGAUGGCCGUCGACGUUAUCGGACGUCGAAUGAACAAACGAACGAGCGAACGAACGAACGAACGAUCAAGUAAGCAAGCAAACGUACAAACGAAUGAAGAAGAGGAUUGAACGUAAAAGGAAACUGAGUUAGGGGAUUGGAAGAAAAAGGAAGGAAAGAAAGAAGGAAGAAAGGAAGGUAGGAAGGAAGGAAGGAAGGAAGGUAGGUAGGUAGAUAGGAAGGAAGGUAGGAUAGAAAUGAAGUAAAGGAAUGAUGAAAGGAUAAGAUGGAACUAGGGAAAAGGGCCAGAGAAAGAGCGAGAGAGAGAUAGAGAGUGUUGCGGAACGCGACCGACCCCGAGGGCGAGCAACGACGAACGAGGAUGCGCUCGAGCGCGAAGCCCGUGCCGUUCUCUGGGCUUUAUCCCCACCAUUGUUAAAUGUGCGCUCGCGGUAUCCGGUGAGAGAAACUACGAGGAGAUUAUCGGCAUCGCGCACUCGCACGGACCCGCGGUCGAGUUUCGUUGGUCGAGAGCCGUUGCUACUUGGCUCGUGAUUGGUCGAGGUAAGCGCGCGCGACGAGCACGCGCGCUUCCUACCAUCGUGUGUCGCCCUUGGUGGGGGUGACGAAUAAGAGGUGGAGGUGGAGGUGGUGGCGGAGGUGGUAGCGGUGGUGGUGGGGGUGUGUCGGACCGAGGGUUACAGAAAGAGGAGAAGGGGCAUGAGCCCAGGAAGAGAGUGACAGAGAGAGUGAGAGAGAGAGAGGGAGGUGGGACUAACUAACACCAGUAGGGUGGGGCAACAGCAACGCGCUAAGAAGAAACAAGAAGCCCGUCGUGCCGAAACUUGCGGCGAUAAGGUUGAACGAGAACUGGCCGCACCGCGUGCGGAAACCCGCUACUUAUGCUCUCUCAUGGUGGGGAAGGAAGCGCGUAAAACGACGACAACGACGACGACGACGCGACAAGCCAACAACGUUGCUUCGAACGCGCCAAUCCAAAGACUAAAAAACCUUUCUUUCUUUCUUCUAGUUAGUUACCCCAACAACGAUCACGAGUGUUUUGAUUUUUUUCCUUUUUUCCCUCUCUUUCCUCCCUUUUUUUAUUUUUCUCAAACGAAAGGGGAGAAAAAGAGCAACUAAUAAUGGCGAUUGACAAAUUUCGGACGACGGUCUCCAGGCUCAUUUUCAACGUCGUCCGAGCACUCUUUCUAGGUAUAAACUUGCAAGUAAAUCUCUAAAUAAGAGAAAGAGAGAAAGAGAGAAAGAGAGAGAAUAUGAGAAAGAAAGAGAGUGAGAGUUUUAUCAAACGGAACGGAGCGAUCGUCUCGAGCGCGAUCGUCAGACUGCCGUUGGUUCACGGCAACCGAAUGCUACUCGAAUGUUUGACCCAUUUUUCUAUCGAUCCUGCCGUUUCUGCAUCUAGGACACUGCGCGCGAUCCCUCCUGCCGUUGAAAUCUCUUUCGAAUCCUCCCUUCCACCCCCUACUGACCCCACCAAAGCCCAUCCUUCCUCCUUCCCCACCUCCUUCUUCUCCACCCUCAUCAAUUCCUAUAUUCCUGUGCUCUAUUUUUCUAUUCCAGCCAACCCCACGCUCGUCCUGAUUUUUCUUUAGAUUCUUAAACUCCCCUCCUAUAAUAUGCCUUUCCUAACAACCGCUUCUUCCCCUUUCUUAUCUUUACAUAUGUCUUUGAUGACGCGAAUCUUGUUCGGUUCCUAUCCGAGAAAUCUACUGAUUGCGAGAGAUAGACGCGAUCUGAUAGACGGAACAUGAGAUAACGUAGGAAAACGAAUAACAUCAAUUCGAAAGAGAUUCAUGGAUGACGGGAAAUACUUUUCCUUGGCUUCUUCCUGGUUCACAGUAAUGCAAUGGAUCGAGGAAUCACCGAAAUUGAUAUUAUGUAGAACUUAAUGAAGAAGAAGUAGAAGUAAGAGGAGGAGGAAGAUGAAGAGGAGGAAGAGAAAGAGGCGGUGGUGAUGAUGAGCGCGGAGGUGGGAGAGGUGAAUCGCAAUGAAAUAUUAGGACACCACCAGCUCGUCAUCGUCGUCAUCAGCGCCGCUGUCGUCGUCGUCGUCAUCGUCGUUGUCGUCGUUGUCGUCGUCCUAUUUCCGCGCUCGGGAAAGUUCGUGUCGGCACCGAUUGUGCGCGAAGCUACGGGAAUAUAAGUAGGUCGUUCCAAGCUGCACGUGUCGUCCUUGACUCACAUAACGAGGCGCGCAGGCGCUCACCGGUGCCGCAUUGCCGGUCGCUAGGACUCUUUCUUUGUUCCUCCUCCCCCCUCCCACCCUUCCACUAUGGGUUGCUAACACUUCAAGCUUAUGUAGUAUAUAUAUCUUUCUCUCUCUCACUCUUUCUCUCUUUCCUUCUUUCUUCUCUCAAAUUUUCUAUUUAAUUG
rnacentral:lncRNA from 1 species